UAUAUGCAAUUCAAACUCAUCUAUAGUGACAAAAAACUGAACAGUGGUGGUUAGUUGAUUUGGAAUGAAAAGAGGAGUGGGAGGGAAAGACUACCAAAGGAUUAAAGAAAAAUGGAGGAGAUGGAUAUAUUCAGUAUCUCAGCCUCCUGAGUCGCUGGGACUCUAGGCAUGUGGCAGCUUGCUUAAUUUUUUUGUUAGUAUUAAUUUUUAAGACAAGGUCAUGCUAUGUUGCCUAGGUUCGUCUCCAACUCCUGACCUCAAGGGAUCCUUCUGCCUCAGCCUUUCAAAGCACUGGGAUGUCAGGUGUGAGCCACCACUCCUGGCCACAUAUGCUUCUCUCCAGCAAGAAAGCCCUCUUCAGAUGCUGACCCCUGUUUCUUGGACUUCCCAGCCUCCAGAAUUGUAAGAAAUAAACUUUUGUUCUUUAUAAAUUAAUCAAUCUUAUUUCUGUUUCUUAUAAAUUACUCAGUCUUAGAUAUUCUGUUACAGUAGCACCAAGUGGACUAAGACAGUAAUUCUGUAUACUCACAAAGAUUACUGGUAAGGAAGUGAAUAUGUUAAGACAGAAACUUCAGUAAAAUUAAAAUGUUAUAGGGCAUGAUGCUAGUUUAUUUUGUUAUAUGUAUACAGUGAGAAUAAUGUAUUACAUGCUGCAAAAUAUAUUUAGAAAGCAAUAUGUGUGUUAUGUGAUGCACUCUUACUCUGGGCUAAGAACACUUACCCACCCCAUUGGUUUCACCCACAUGGCUUCCUUUGACCAGUGGAAUGAUAUUGUGAUAUGAACUGAGGCUUUUAAUGAAUUCAGCCAGUUUAACUUACUACUUGCCUCUGGUGAACCUGCUUGAGAAGAGGAUGUCCAAGUGGCCUGGAGCCUGGGCUUCUGCAAUAGGAAUAAUAAGGGUCCCCCAAAGUCAUCUAUGCCCUAGUCUUAAGAAUAUGUGAAUAUGUUAUCUUUCAUGACAAAAACAAAACAAAACAAAACAAAAAAACCUUGCAGAUGUAAUUAAGAAUCUUGAGAUGAGAUUAUCUUUGAUUAUGUGGAUGGACUCAAUGUAAUCACAAUGGUUAUAA